GUUUGUUUGGUUGGUGAGUUUUUUUUUUUUAAUUAUAAUGUUUCUGGGGCAAUGUAAAAUUCAUAUUAAUAUACCAUUGUGUUUUCCAGAAUUUUCCCUCAAGAGAAAUGUGUAAUAUUUCACAUCAUAAGUACUUUUUUGACAUCAUUAGUCAACAAGGAGAAUAUUCAAAGCAUAUUACUCUAAUUUAGUUGCCUCUGUCCUCCUUUGAUCAUAUUGGAGAGGUUCUUGCUGCCAUUUUGUGGACUUCAAAGGCAAUCAGGCCGUUAAAGUCUCUACCAUCUCCUGCUGAGCAAACCAGAAGUGUCCAAACAGACCUUGACCCUUAAAAUCUUCAGUGGAGCCUGUUUGAAUCAGUCCUGUAAAGGAAGGUAAAGAUGAAUGAAGAGAAAGCAAGCUGCACAGGAGAUGGCUGGAGGAAAGAUCCAAACUGUAUUCUGCCCACAAGAGCACAAAUGACAAGUAAACGACUUUGGUAGCUAAAGGACACCAAUAUCCUCUAAGUAGGGCAAGUCUGGGUCAGUCACCUGCCUGAUGACAAUUUGUGUGAAUGAUCCCAUUGUGGACGCUGGAUGUUUUAAUCAGGUGGUACAGUUUCUUCAUUGGGGCAUCUCAGCCUGGCUUGUUAACCUGCAGCAGGAGGAGUCUCUGCACGCCAAGGCAGUUCAACAGAUCUGGAAAGCCCAACAUCUUUGGCUGAGUUAAUAAUGACAUGAAGUA